GCAGGUAGCAGAACGUUCUAUAUAACUUUAAAGUAAUAGAAUUGCUAAUGCUGGUAUAAGUAACUAUGUAAAAAUACAGCUAAGCUAAAGGUUUUGCGCAACAGUGAAACGAUAUAGAUAAAGGAAAGUAA
rnacentral:rRNA from 1 species